rnacentral:rRNA from 1 species
GACGAACGCUGGCGGCGUGCUUAACACAUGCAAGUCGAACGAUGAAGCGGUGCUUGCACCGUGGAUUAGUGGCGAACGGGUGAGUAAUACGUGAGUGACCUACCUUUGACUCUGGGAUAAGCCUGGGAAACUGGGUCUAAUACCGGAUACGACCAAUCUCUGCGUGGGGUGUUGGUGGAAAGCGUUAUGGAGUGGUUUUAGAUGGGCUCACGGCCUAUCAGCUUGUUGGUGAGGUAAUGGCUUACCAAGGCGACGACGGGUAGCCGGCCUGAGAGGGUGACCGGCCACACUGGGACUGAGACACGGCCCAGACUCCUACGGGAGGCAGCAGUGGGGAAUAUUGCACAAUGGGCGCAAGCCUGAUGCAGCGACGCCGCGUGAGGGAUGACGGCCUUCGGGUUGUAAACCUCUGUUAGCAUCGAAGAAGCGAAAGUGACGGUAGGUGCAGAGAAAGCGCCGGCUAACUACGUG